GACUCCUGAAACCGUGUCUCUGCUAUUGGGGGUGGGGGAACCCCAGUUUCUGGCUCCUCUCUAGGCCCUGCUCUCAGGUACCCCAUCGUCUGCAGGAGAGACCUCCUGAUGGAGCUUCAAGGAUGAUCCAGAGUCCCCACGACAGGUACGCCAGGGACUCUGCUGUCUCUAGCCCCACGCUGAAGAGCUGCCUCUUCUGAGCUAGCCCAUUUCCACCUACAAGUAUCAGCCGUCGACCACUGUGCCUGCUGAUUGUGACUCCUGAAUACUUUGAGGAUUGCUGUGCUCCCUGCCUGGUGUUUGGUAGAUGCUGAAGAAACACUAGUUCUUUUUCUUAUGAGCUCUUCUUCCUGCUUCAAAAAGUACCAGAUGCCUGAGGACGACAUCUGGCUUUGCUGGAUACUGCGGGACUUCUCAUGAUUUAUUAGCCACUCUCUCCACAUGGAUCUGCCAAGUGGCCAGGGUGGAGUCUCGGCCCAGAGUGGUUUUUCCCUCCCCUGAAGGAUCUAUGACCCCAGCCAGGUGGGAUGACAUGAGAGCCAAGGUAUCGAAGUCCCCACUGACCAGAGUCACACUUCUAUCUCUGCAGCCCCUUGCCAUCCCCAGGCCAGAGCAGAGUCCCAGUGAGGGAUGGGGAGGAGCCUACUGAGCACACACAUGCUGAUUCUUGUCCCAGUUCCCAACUGACUCGCCGCCUGACCUUGGACAAGUCCUUUGACCUUUCCAGGCCUGGUUACCCUCAUCUGACAACCAGGGGAUUGUAACAGUCCUCAAGAGUUGUUAAGGUGCCC